UUCUGAUUCUGUGUCUCCCUCUCUCUCUGCCCCUCCCCUGCUCAUGCUCUGUCUCUCAAAAAUAAAUAAAUGUUAAAAAACAAAAACAAAAACCCGUUUUAGAAUAACACUUUUUUCCCCAUUGCUCCUUGGGGGUAAAUUUAUUUCACUGUUUGGAGAUGUCUCUGCCACGAUUUAAGUCAAGUGUAAAGAAAUUUUAUAAAUAAAAACAUUAAAAACCUUUUUAAAAGAGGGGUGCCUGGGGGGCUCAGUUAGUUAAGUGUCCGACUUUGGCUCAAGUGAUGGUCUCACAGUUCAUGGGUUCGAGCCCCACGCUGGGCUCUGCUGACAGCACCAGGCUGGAACCUGCUGCGGGUUCUGUCUCCUUCUCUCUCUUUGCCGCCCCUCCCCCCCGCCUGCCCGCCGUUUGCGCUCUGUCUCUCUCAAAAAUAAACCUUAAAAAAAAAAAUGCCUAUGUUGAAAUAAGAACUUUUGUUUAUGUGACAGAAUGGAAAGACAAACCACAAAAGGGACAAAGAUACAGAUACAUCCUACAAAGGAGAUACGUCUCUCUCUCUCUCACGAUCUAUGUCACCCUGAUAUAGAUCUAUCUUUCAAGGGAUCCAGGUUAUAUGAAGAAUUCCCGUACAUCAGAAAGAAGAAAGAUGACUUACAAAAUAAUGGGCAAAAGAUAUGAACCGGCAUUUUUUAUAAUAUAAUGUAGAAAUGGAGAAUAAACAUGAAAAGAGGCUCAUUAGUAAUGAAAAAUCAAAUUAGGAUCAUAAUGAGCUAUUCUUUUAUACCCCUCAGGAAAAAUGAAGACUCAAUAUCAGGUGUUGAUGAGGAUGUGGAACAAUAGGAACGAUCACACACCGCUGUAAAAAAGAAAAUGCCAUUGCCAAUCCAGUGUACGUACUAUAGGGAAAAAAAACAUAGCUUGAGAUUGAUUUUUCUGUUAACUCAUUCACUUUAGUAGACCAGUCCCAGUGACCAUCUGAAGUAUAUGAAACCCAAAGACUUACAGGCUCUUCACCUAUUCCUCAGACUCUGGUUGCUACUGGUCACUAAUACUGUCAAAGAUGGACUUUCAGACACAUCUUUCCUAAAGUUCAAAAAUGGCACCUGGUGGCUCAGUCGGUUAAGCCUCUGACUCUUGAUUUAGGCUCAGGUCAUGAUCUCACAGUUCCUGGGCUCAAGCCCUGAGUUGGGAUUCUCUCCCUUUCUGCUCCUCCCCCGCUCAUGCACACGUGCACUCCUGUGAAGGACCUCUCUCAAGCCUUUGUUUUCUUGUUCAAGUUGAAAUAUUUGUUCCAGUACCUUGCACCCCUGUUGCUUUUCAGUUUCAAUGGCUUUCCUCAUUACUGCUGUCAUUUCCGUUAUCUGAUCAACAUGCAGUUGGAAUUUCUGAUUUGCUUCCAAGUGCCUCCUCUCCGGUCCAUGUUGAGAUGUUUCAAAGAUGUGUCAGGAUGCAUCAAAGAAGACUCCAGAGCUGUUACAACAACCCAUGUCAGUCUGGGAGUGCUGCUCUUUUGACUUCAUUAUAUCCAGAUCAUCUUUUUUGCUAGCCGUUAGCAGUCUAACUAUGGAUGUUCUUCCAGGUCUCUCCAAUUCCAGUCUCUCUCAAGGAAUGAAAAGCAGUAGCAGAGUCUCCAGUCUUCUUCUGGGACGUAAUGGAUGACUCAGAGGUCCUCUGUCUGUGUCCACUGUGGUUUAUCUGGGACUCUGAACUGCCUCAGACCUUGUCCAUAUUCGAUGGCCAUGGAAACCGAUGUCCAAGGGGCGAGAUGGACCAGGAGAGCAGACACUCAGACUCUCUCGAAAGGUCUGCCUUCUGACAGCCCAUGGUGAUGCCAGAGGGACAGAAGUGCCCAGAGGUAAAGAGCUUCGGGCCCCCACCACCCCGGCGGCCCCCCGCCGUGGCUCAGAGAUCUCACCUCCAAGGCGCUGCGGUUAAGCUGUAUUCUGGCAUCCACCACCACCUUGGCCAGGAAGGAUAUGGUGCCCAGCAGUGCCAAUAAGUCAGAGGGCGAGCUCACCACCUUCGCCUGCUCCGACAGCUCAGCCAGGAUCUGUGGCGCCUCCACAGCAGGCCAGCCCUGGCCUGCCCGCAGCAGCUGAGACAGACCAGACAGAGCAGGAAGUGGGGGGGGUGGGGGGAUGGGCGAGUCGUCACAAGGGAGGGGCCACUCCUCCCCCAUCCAGCUCUUUCCUCCCCAGCCCUGCUCCAGUCCCCGGGGGAGCGGGAAGCCACACGGAAGGAACUCACACCCGUGUUAGUGGGCUGGACACUUGGUGGAAUUAGGAUUGGAGGAGAACGCCCUUCCCACCAUGAGAGUCUCGUGCAUCUGUGGCCCCCACCCUCAUACCCUGGCUCUGCCAGGCUCCGGUUCAGGGAAGGUGAGGGGCCUCCAGGCCAGGCCUCAGGAGGAAAAGGUUCUAAAGCUAGGUCCCGAGCGAGAAAGGGGUAGGUCAUGGAGGGCGAGGCCUGGAGCAGUGGGGCUUGAAGCUUUACCCAGGCUCUGUGAAACAAGGCCAGGACCCCUGCGUCCGUGCAGCCGCCGUGGAUGGGCUCCCAACUGCCAUCAGGCCCGCAGGUCCGCUUCACCACACCUGUCCUGUUCACUGGACACGGGGCCUGUGCCACGUGGCCAGCCUUGGUGACAUUCCAGGCAACAGCUGAGGAGUCCUCAGGGCAGGUGGUGUCUCCGUCUGAAGAAUGAUACCAAGGAGGCUCAGCAACCGUGGUCUAGCCCCAGCCUCUCCCGCGUUCGGGGUCUGGAGACUGGCCGUGUGGCCCAGUGUGGGGGAAACGUCGAGGAGCUCCCAGGGCGAGCAGGUGAGAGCUUGGACCCAACCAGCUGGACCCCGAGCCCCACGUACCCUGGAUGAUGGUGACAGAGACGGGGACCCUGAGAGGGGUCAGUCCUGGGCUCUGCAGCUCACAAGUAUACGUGGUGUCAGCGGCAGGGCAGCGCUGAACGGUCAGCACGAGGCACCAGGAGCCUGGCGUGUUGACUAAGGAGGCUGAAGGUGACACGAGAGAGAGGGGAGCGGUUACUGGGCCUGGAGCAGACCCAGAACCCGGCCGGCCCAGAGAUGCCCUUUCAGUCUCUAGCAACUUCGGAAGCAGAUGAUGCCGUGGGGCAGAGUGGAGUUGUGUGCGAGCAUCAAACUGCAGAGGCGGAGCUUGGGUCUUGGUGAAGGGCGCCUGGGGGUCUCUAACCAGCCCCAGGACUCGAAGCCAGCUUGCAAAAUGGGGACUAUCAUCAAAGGAACUUCACAGAGUGUGUGGCCAGAGUUCAUUAAGGUCGUGGGAAAACAUUUUGUGAGCAGUUAUCUACACUCAUGCGGUUACUGCUGUAUCAGGAGGGUUAGGAUCGCUCACGGGGUAACCACGGUAUUGAAUGAACUUGGACCCGGAGCCCCACGUUGAACUGCAGCCUCUCUGCUUCCUGGGAGUUGAACAGCCAGCUGCUUGGAGGACACCAGCUGCCCCUUGUCCCCUGAGCCAGACACAGCGCUCGUACCUUUGCUGCCCUCUGCGGGGCUCCAGGAAGCCGUGUAGACCAGGUGUGUACUGGGGAGGCAGCAGCUCAGCUGGAAACCGGGGCUGGUGGCGCAGGAGAUGGAGAGCUGGUCUGGAAGCCGGGCCACGUCUGUCACCUGCAGGGGCACCUUCACCACCUGGUACAGCUCCCACCUGAAUCCCUGAGCUUCGAAGCGGCACGUGUACUCACCUGCAGAUACACACCUGCUGUACCUCCCGGCUCCUCCGGCCCCACCCCUGCGCCGCAGAAGCUCUCCUGCCAGGUCUGGCCUCUGCUUAAGCCCAGCAAGAAAGAUCCCUGCCUGGGUGGCUCAGUCGGUUGCACAUCUGACUUCGGCUCAGGUCAUGAUCUCACAGCUCGUGGGUUCGAGCCCCACUUCGGGCUCCGUGCCGACAGCUCAGAGCCUGAAGCCU